rnacentral:rRNA from 1 species
UGCGUAGGCGGUUUUGCAAGUCAGAAGUGAAAGGCUACGGCUCAACCGUGGUAAGCUUUUGAAACUGCAAGACUAGAGUGCAGGAGAGGCAAGUGGAAUUCCUAGUGUAGAGGUGAAAUUCGUAGAUAUUAGGAGGAACACCAGUGGCGAAGGCGACUUGCUGGACUGUAACUGACGCUGAGGCACGAAAGCGUGGGGAGCGAACA